UGCGGGGUGGAGCAGCUUGGUAGCUCGCCGGGCUCAUAACCCGGAGGUCGUUGGUUCAAAUCCAGCCCCCGCGA
rnacentral:tRNA from 1 species